GGGCCUAUAGCUCAGUUGGUUAGAGCAGAGGACUCAUAAUCCUUUGGUCCGGGGUUCGAGUCCCUGUGGGCCCACCA
rnacentral:tRNA from 1 species